rnacentral:rRNA from 1 species
GGCGAAAAGAACCCCGGCGAGGGGAGUGAAAAAGAACCUGAAACCGUGUACGUACAAGCAGUGGGAGCCCCACCACCAAAGCAUUCUCUGGUGUUGAAGGCCCUGCAAAGCAGCAUCGCGGUGGCGGAGCGUCGUUUGCGACGCCCAACACACAAAACAAGCGGUGAGUGCUUUGGGGUGGGGUGACUGCGUACCUUUUGUAUAAUGGGUCAGCGACUUAUAUUCUGUAGCAAGGUUAACCGUAUAGGGGAGCCGAAGGGAAACCGAGUCUUAACUGGGCGUUAAGUUGCAGGGUAUAGACCCGAAACCCGGUGAUCUAGCCAUGGGCAGGUUGAAGGUUGGGUAACACUAACUGGAGGACCGAACCGACUAAUGUUGAAAAAUUAGCGGAUGACUUGUGGCUGGGGGUGAAAGGCCAAUCAAACCGGGAGAUAGCUGGUUCUCCCCGAAAGCUAUUUAGGUAGCGCCUCGUGAACUCAUCUUCGGGGGUAGAGCACUGUUUCGGCUAGGGGGUCAUCCCGACUUACCAACCCGAUGCAAACUGCGAAUACCGAAGAAUGUUAUCACGGGAGACACACGGCGGGUGCUAACGUCCGUCGUGAAGAGGGAAACAACCCAGACCGCCAGCUAAGGUCCCAAAGUCACAGUUAAGUGGGAAACGAUGUGGGAAGGCUCAGACAGCCAGGAUGUUGGCUUAGAAGCAGCCAUCAUUUAAAGAAAGCGUAAUAGCUCACUGGUCGAGUCGGCCUGCGCGGAAGAUGUAACGGGGCUAAACUGUGCACCGAAGCUGCGGCAGCGACGCUUAUGCGUUGUUGGGUAGGGGAGCGUUCUGUAAGCCUGCGAAGGUGUCCUGUGAGGGAUGCUGGAGGUAUCAGAAGUGCGAAUGCUGACAUAAGUAACGAUAA